rnacentral:rRNA from 1 species
GACGAACGCUGGCGGCGUGCUUAACACAUGCAAGUCGAACGGAAAGGCCCUGCUUUUGUGGGGUGCUCGAGUGGCGAACGGGUGAGUAACACGUGAGUAACCUGCCCUUGACUUUGGGAUAACUUCAGGAAACUGGGGCUAAUACAGGAUAGGAGCUCCUGCUGCAUGGUGGGGGUUGGAAAGUUUCGGCGGUUGGGGAUGGACUCGCGGCUUAUCAGCUUGUUGGUGGGGUAGUGGCUUACCAAGGCUUUGACGGGUAGCCGGCCUGGGAGGGUGACCGGCCACAGUGGCACUGGGGUGCGGCCCGGACUCCUACGGGCGGCAUCAGUGGGGAACUUUGCACAAUGGGCGGAGGCCGGAUGCAGCAACGCCGCGUGCGAGAUGACGGCCUUCGGGUUGGAAACCGCUUUCGCCUGUGACGAAGCGUGAUUAACGUUAAUGGUGAAAGAAGCACCGGCUACCUACUU